rnacentral:rRNA from 1 species
UACGUAGGGGGCAAGCGUUGUCCGGAAUCAUUGGGCGUAAAGAGCGUGUAGGCGGCCAGAUAAGUCCGCUGUGAAAUCUCGAGGCUCAACUUCGAGCUGUCGGUGGAAACUGUCUGGCUAGAGUCCGGAAGAGGAGAAUGGAAUUCCUGGUGUAGCGGUGAAAUGCGCAGAUAUCAGGAGGAACACCAAUUGCGAAGGCAGCUCGCUGGGACGGUACUGACGCUGAGACGCGAAAGCGUGGGGAGCGAACAGG